UAGGGAAUCUUCGGCAAUGGGGGCAACCCUGACCGAGCAACGCCGCGUGAGUGAAGAAGGUUUUCGGAUCGUAAAGCUCUGUUGUAAGAGAAGAACGUGUGUGAGAGUGGAAAGUUCACACAGUGACGGUAACUUACCAGAAAGGGACGGCUAACUACGUGCCAGCAGCCGCGGUAAUACGUAGGUCCCGAGCGUUGUCCGGAUUUAUUGGGCGUAAAGCGAGCGCAGGCGGUUUAAUAAGUCUGAAGUUAAAGGCAGUGGCUUAACCAUUGUUCGCUUUGGAAACUGUUAAACUUGAGUGCAGAAGGGGAGAGUGGAAUUCCAUGUGUAGCGGUGAAAUGCGUAGAUAUAUGGAGGAACACCGGUGGCGAAAGCGGCUCUCUGGUCUGUAACUGACGCUGAGGCGCGAAAGCGUGGGGAGCAAACAGG
rnacentral:rRNA from 1 species